rnacentral:lncRNA from 1 species
UUCUCUAGCAAUGCUGUCUUCCCUUGUCUGUGCCUUUGAUAGGUCCUGUACCUGCUCAGUCAAAUCAAACAUAAAGAAGAAGCAGAGAAGAGGCUGGAGACCCCCAUUUCAGAGCAGGAGCAGCAGCUUCUGGAGCGCCUCCGGUUCCAGGAUGAAGAGCUGGCAAAAAUGAAGGAGGUCUUUGAGAAGAACCAGGAGCUCUCCGAAGAGCUUGAAGCUGCCAGACAGAAACUGAAGAUUCUCCAAGCGGCCAGCUGCCAGAAGAUCCGCACCGCUCCCCUGUCGUUUACCAACACCCCGGAGUCCCCCUUCGAUUAUAUUCCGCCCAAGGUGCGUAUUACGUCCUGGGGGGGGCAGAUGGGAGGCGGUGGCAAAGCACCUUCCCUUAUUAGCUCGCCUCCUUAUGGGGAGAAAUCUAACAUGGGGCGCCUUUUAGCAAAAUAGAACAAACAUGCCAUCACUAGGAGCUUUGCUGCUUUGCAAGACGGUGCAGGUCUUCCAGAUGUGUUUAAUCAUAACCAUUAGCCCCAGGUGGCAGCCGGGAAGGGGUGAUGAGAGAUGCAGUUCAGGAAUAUCUGGAAAGCCCCAGCCUCAUAACCCCUUGGUUUAAAAUACGAUCACACCCAUUUCUGGUUGCAAAAUGCUGGCCCAAACCAGACAGGCCUUCUACCGCUUAUGAGUUUGGCUUGGUUCUGGGCGAUGUGAGUUAAAUGUCUUGCCUUUAUUGGUGUUAACAUUUCUGGCCUUGAAUAAGUUUCAAACAUCUCUCUUCCAAAGUUCCCCAUCUGGCUUUAGGCUAAGCUAGUAACCCCAAAAGACAACAGCCAAGAUGCACGCAUAUUUCUGUAUUUAUCUAUUGGCUUGGGUUCUUUUCAGCCAAAGCCUCGUAGGCACACGACGGCAAAGCUGUCAACGGAUAUGGCUAUGGAAGAUCUGUCGUCCGAAACCGAUACCUCCGGAGGGGAAGCGGAGGAUGCCGAGUGGGUGCCGGCCAAGCUUGCCAGAGGAAUCAAGAAGAACAUUUUGGGGGUACGGUUGUGUAGAUGUGAAAAGAGGGGCCCGGGUUUUGUAAGCCUCCAGCCUCUGACCCCGUGACAACAUGCGGUUGGAAGGCAUAAUUCAAGAGGCCGCGAGGAUGGCUUUGGCACAGGCCAGGCCAGAAGGUGCAUCUGCAUCCGCAUUUUCAGAAGGAAGGGAUAGAUAUCACAACC